rnacentral:rRNA from 1 species
UCGGGAAUUUUGGGCAAUGGGCGAAAGCCUGACCCAGCAACGCCGCGUGAGGGAUGAAGUAUUUCGGUAUGUAAACCUCGAAAGAAUGGGAAGAAUAAAUGACGGUACCAUUUAUAAGCUCCGGCUAACUACGUGCCAGCAGCCGCGGUAAUACGUAGGGAGCAAGCGUUGUUCGGAUUUACUGGGCGUAAAGGGCGCGUAGGCGGCGCGGUAAGUCACUUGUGAAAUCUCUGAGCUUAACUCAGAACGGCCAAGUGAUACUGCUGUGCUAGAGUGCGGAAGAGGCAACCGGAAUUCUUGGUGUAGCGGUGAAAUGCGUAGAUAUCAAGAGAAACACCGGAGGCGAAGGCGGGUUGCUGGGCCGACACUGACGCUGAUGCGCGAAAGCCAGGGGAGCAAACG